GGGGUUGUGGCUCAGUGGCAGAGCGCUCGCCUUGCACGUGCAAGGCCCUGGGUUCGAUCCUCAGCACCA
rnacentral:tRNA from 1 species